rnacentral:rRNA from 1 species
GACUCAGCGAAAUUGAAUUGCCUGUCAAGAUGCAGGCUUCCCGCGGUUAGACGGAAAGACCCCGUGAACCUUUACUAUAGCUUCGCAUUGGCAUCAGGCUUGUGAUGUGCAGGAUAGGUGGUAGACAUUGAAGAUGGGACGCAAGUCCUGUUGGAGUCACCCUUGAGAUACCACCCUUGACAUUCUUGUUGUCUAACCGCGUUCCGUUAUCCGGAACCGGGACCGUGCGUGGUGGGUAGUUUGACUGGGGCGGUCACCUCCUAAAGAGUAACGGAGGUGUGCGAAGGUGGGCUCAGAGCGGUCGGAAAUCGCUCGUAGAGUGCAAUGGCAAAAGCCCGCUUGACUGCGAGACUGACAAGUCGAGCAGAGACGAAAGUCGGCCAUAGUGAUCCGGUGGUUCCGAGUGGAAGGGCCAUCGCUCAACGGAUAAAAGGUACUCCGGGGAUAACAGGCUAAUGGUGCCCAAGAGUUCAUAUCGACGGCACCGUUUGGCACCUCGAUGUCGGCUCAUCUCAUCCUGGGGCUGAAGCAGGUCCCAAGGGUACGGCUGUUCGCCGUUUAAAGAGGUACGUGAGCUGGGUUUAGAACGUCGUGAGACAGUUCGGUCCCUAUCUGCCGUGGGUGUAGGAAACUUGAGAGGAGCUGUCCCUAGUACGAGAGGACCGGGAUGGACGCACCACUGGUGGAUCUGUUGUGGCGCCAGCCGCAGUGCAGAGUAGCUAUGUGCGGAACGGAUAACCGCUGAAAGCAUCUAAGCGGGAAGCCACCCUCAAAACAAGGUUUCCCUGAAGGACGGUGGGAGACUACCACAUGAUAGGCCGGAGGUGUAAGUGCAGCAAUGCAUUCAGCUGACCGGUACUAAUAGUCCGUUCGGCUUGAUUAU